CCUACGGGAGGCAGCAGUGGGGAAUAUUGCGCAAUGGGCGAAAGCCUGACGCAGCGACGCCGCGUGAGGGAUGAAGGUCUUCGGAUCGUAAACCUCUGUCAGCAGGGAAGAACGGUCACUGUGCUAAUCAGCAGUGAAUUGACGGUACCUGCAAAGGAAGCACCGGCUAACUCCGUGCCAGCAGCCGCGGGAAUACGGAGGGUGCGAGCGUUAAUCGGAAUUACUGGGCGUAAAGCGCUCGUAGGCGGUAUGUCAAGUCAAGGGUGAAAUCCCCGCGCUCAACGUGGGAACUGCCUUUGAAACUGGCAAACUGGAGUGUGUGAGAGGAUAGUGGAAUUCCAGGUGUAGGAGUGAAAUGCGUAGAUAUCUGGAGGAACAGCAGUGGCGAAGGCGACUAUCUGGCACAUAACUGACGCUGAGGAGCGAAAGCGUGGGUAGCAAACAGGAUUAGAUACCCGAGUAGUC
rnacentral:rRNA from 1 species